ensembl:lncRNA
UCACCUUUAUUACCCUUUAUUCACCUUUAUUCCCCUUUAUUCCCCUUAUUACCCUAUAUUCACCUUUAUUACCCUUUAUUCACCUUAUUACCCUUUAUUCACCUUUAUUACCCUUUAUUCACCUUUAUUUCCCUUAAUUCACCUUAUUACCCUUUAUUCACCUUUAUUAACCUUAUUACCCUUUAUUCACCUAUAUUCACCUUUAUUACCCUUUCUUCACCUUUCUUCACCUUUAUUACCCUAUAUUCACCUUUAUUACCCUUUAUUCACCUUUAUUACCCUUUAUUCACCUUAUUACCCUUUGUUCACCUUUAUUACCCUUUAUUCACCUUUAUUACCCUUUAUUCACCUUAUUACCCUUUAUUCACCUUUAUUACCCUUUAUUCACCUUAUUACCCUUUAUUACCCUUUAUUCACCUUUAUUACCCUUUAUUCACAUUAUUACCCUUCAUUCACCUUUAUUACCCUAUAUUCACCUUUAUUACCCUUAUUCACCUUUAUUCACCUUUAUUACCGUUUAUUCACCUUAUUACCCUAUAUUCACCUUUAUUACCCUUUAUUCACCUUUAUUCACCUUUAUUCCCCUUAUUACCCUAUAUUCACCUUUAUUACCCUUUAUUCACCUUAUUACCCUUUAUUCACCUUUAUUACCCUUUAUUACCCUUGAUUCACCUUAUUCACCUUUAUUCACCUUAUUACCCUUUAUUCACCUAUAUUCACCUUAUUCACCUUUAUUACCCUUUAUUCACCUUUAUUCACCUUAUUACCCUUUAUUCACCUAUAUUCACCUUAUUCACCUUUAUUACCCUUUAUUCACCUUUCUUCACCUUUAUUACCCUAUAUUCACCUUUAUUACCCUUUGUUCACCUUAUUACACUUUAUUCACCUUUAAUCACCUUUAUUACCCUAUAUUCACCUUUAUUACCCUUUAUUACCCUUUAUUCACCUUAUUACCCUUUAUUCACCUAUAUUCACCUUAUUCACCUUUAUUACCCUUUAUUCACCUUUCUUCACCUUUAUUACCCUAUAUUCACCUUUAUUCACCUUAAUUAUCCUUUGUUCACCUUAUUACCCUUUAUUCACCUUUAUUCACCUUUAUUACCCUUUAUUCACCUUAUUACCCUAUAUUCACCUUUAUUACCUUUUAUUACCCUUUAUUCACCUUUAUUCACCUUAUUACCCUUUAUUCACCUUUAUUACCCUUUAUUACCCUUUAUUCACCUUUAUUACCCUUUAUUCACCUUAUUACCCUUUAUUACCCUUUAUUCACCUUAUUACCCUUUAUUACCCUUUAUUCACCUUAUUACCCUUUAUUCACCUUUAUUACCCUUUAUUCACCUUAUUACCCUUUAUUCACCUUAUUACCCUUUAUUCACCCUUUAUUCCCCUUAUUACCCUUUAUUCACCCUUUAUUCACCUUUAUUCACCUUUAUUCACCUUAUUACCCUUUAUUCACCUUAUUACCCUUUAUUCACCUUUAUUCCCCUUUAUUCACCUUAUUACCCUUUAUUACCCUUUAUUCACCUUAUUACCCUUUAUUCACCUUAUUACCCUUUAUUCACCUUUAUUACCCUAUAUUCACCUUUAUUCACCUUUAUUACCCUUUAUUCACCUUAG